GAGAAUUUAUUUUAAAAUUUAAAUAAAAGAUUGUAAAUCUUUAGAUUUAAUUCUUA
rnacentral:tRNA from 1 species